GAUGAAGAACGUAGCGAAAUGCGAUAAGUAAUGUGAAUUGCAGAAUUCAGUGAAUCAUCGAAUCUUUGAACGCACAUUGCGCCCCUUGGUAUUCCGAGGGGCAUGCCCGUUCGAGCGUCAUUAUACCCCUCAAGCCUAGCUUGGUGUUGGGGCCUGCUGUUACCGGCAGCCCUUAAAAUCAGUGGCGGUGCCAUCUGGCUCUAAGCGUAGUAAUACUUCUCGCUACAGGGUCCCGGUGGAUGCUUGCCAUCAACCCCUAAUCUUCUAUGGUUGACCUCGGAUCGGGUAGGGAUACCCGCUGAACUUAAGCAUAUCAAUAAGCGGAGGA
rnacentral:misc_RNA from 1 species